rnacentral:rRNA from 1 species
UUAAUACAAGAUGGCAUCAUGAGUCCGCAUGUUCACAUGAUUAAAGGUAUUCCGGUAGACGAUGGGGAUGCGUUCCAUUAGAUAGUAGGCGGGGUAACGGCCCACCUAGUCUUCGAUGGAUAGGGGUUCUGAGAGGAAGGUCCCCCACAUUGGAACUGAGACACGGUCCAAACUCCUACGGGAGGCAGCAGUGAGGAAUAUUGGUCAAUGGGCGCAGGCCUGAACCAGCCAAGUAGCGUGAAGGAUGACUGCCCUAUGGGUUGUAAACUUCUUUUAUAAAGGAAUAAAGUCGGGUAUGUAUACCCGUUUGCAUGUACUUUAUGAAUAAGGAUCGGCUAACUCCGUGCCAGCAGCCGCGGUAAUACGGAGGAUCCGAGCGUUAUCCGGAUUUAUUGGGUUUAAAGGGAGCGUAGAUGGAUGUUUAAGUCAGUUGUGAAAGUUUGCGGCUCAACCGUAAAAUUGCAGUUGAUACUGGAUAUCUUGAGUGCAGUUGAGGCAGGCGGAAUUCGUGGUGUAGCGGUGAAAUGCUUAGAUAUCACGAAGAACUCCGAUUGCGAAGGCAGCCUGCUAAGCUGCAACUGACAUUGAGGCUCGAAAGUGUGGGUAUCAAACAGGAUUAGAUACCCUGGUAGUCCACACGGUAAAC